rnacentral:rRNA from 1 species
UGGGGAAUAUUGCACAAUGGGGGAAACCCUGAUGCAGCGACGCCGCGUGAGCGAAGAAGGUUUUCGAAUCGUAAAGCUCUGUCCUAUGGGAAGAUAAUGACGGUACCAUAGGAGGAAGCCCCGGCUAACUACGUGCCAGCAGCCGCGGUAAUACGUAGGGGGCAAGCGUUUUCCGGAAUCACUGGGCGUAAAGGGUUCGGAGGAGGAAAUGCAAGUCAGUUGUGAAAGGCAGGGGCUCAACCUCUGUAAGCAAUUGAAACUGUAUUUCUUGAGAUGUGGAGAGGCAAGUGGAAUUCCUAGUGUAGCGGUGAAAUGCGUAGAUAUUAGGAAGAAUACCGGUGGCGAAGGCGACUUGCUGGACAAAAACUGACGCUGAGGAACGAAAGCGUGGGUAGCAAACAGG